AUUCCUACGGGAGGCAGCAGUGGGGAAUCUUAGACAAUGGGGGCAAUCCUGAUCUAGCCAUGCCGCGUGAGUGAUGAAGGCCUUAGGGUCGUAAAGCUCUUACGCCUGUGAUGAUAAUGACGGUAGCAGGUAAAGAAGCCCCGGCUAACUCCGUGCCAGCAGCCGCGGUAAUACGGAGGGGGUUAGCGUUGUUCGGAAUUACUGGGCGUAAAGCGCGCGUAGGCGGAUUAGAAAGUUGGGGGUGAAAUCCCGGGGCUCAACCCCGGAACUGCCUCCAAAACUGCUAGUCUAGAGUUCGAGAGAGGUGAGUGGAAUUCCGAGUGUAGAGGUGAAAUUCGUAGAUAUUCGGAGGAACACCAGUGGCGAAGGCGGCUCACUGGCUCGAUACUGACGCUGAGGUGCGAAAGUGUGGAGCAAACAGGAUUAGAUACCCUGGUAGUCCACACCGUAAACGAUGAAUGCCAGUCGUCGGAUAGUAUACUAUUCGGUGACACACCUAACGGAUUAAGCAUUCCGCCUGGGGAGUACGGACGCAAGAUUAAAACUCAAAGGAAUUGACGGAAU
rnacentral:rRNA from 1 species